AGGUGAGUGUUUGAAAAAGGCACAGACAUCGUCCUUGGUCAAACACAGCUUCGCAAAAACGUUUGUUUUGCAUCAGCAACAGUUGACGCCGGAGUGUUGAUAAUUGUUGCUAGGCAACAAGGCUCAGUCUAACUACGGUGACGAAAGAGGUCCAUACUGAGUGAUAACAGCAUACUCAGAGUUUUGCUCAUCUUCCUUGAGAAUUCUCGGGGCUGAACAUGCAGUCUGUCAGCUGAGCGGGAGACCUGCAGGUGGUAUCUAGCUUCAGGGCCGGUGCUGGGGCCAGGGCCUGCCUCUUCUCUCCACCUCUGCAGGGGGGACAUGAAACACACAGGAUUCCAUUUCAGAGGUAAAAUGACAUGGUAGGUCAUUUCAACCUGUUUUUGCCUACCUUGUGCCUGCAGUGAUACCAGACACUAUCUUGCUUGGGAACUGUUUGCUUUCAUGAUCUUCAGAAAAGCAGGACAAUGAGGACAGUCUGGGAGUUUGACCCAGUGUCCACGGACAAAUCCAGAGGAGCAGUUGUAGGUGCAGUUCAACACUAAAGGUUCUCCAACUGCUGCAUGGAUGACUUCAUGCUGUUUCUGCAGGUCGGUACAGGUUACUGAAUCUAAUGAAAAGGGCAUAAAUUAAGGCAACAAUUCAGUAGGCCGUGGAUACAAAUUUAUAGCUUGAGGACAUUUGAUUAUCAUCUUUUUGCCAGAAACUGAAAAAAAAUCAAGUAAAAAAGUUGAGGAAUUUAUUUUACCUUGGCUUCCCCAAAUAAGCAGCAAUGAGAAGUGGGCUAAGAUUAGCAUCCUGUCCAAAUGUGUCCAGAUCCCCUAUGUUUCAACUAUAUGAAUUGGUUAGCUCUAGGAAUUUUCUUGAUUAAAAAAGACACUUGCACCACUGGUGUCACAGCGGGAUGUGCCAUCAUAUUGCACUAUGUACCAGGUAUAAGGUACAGGAAGUGGUGUUCAACAGGAUGCCUGAUAAAAGUGUUCUUAACUUUCCAUUCAAAACACCUGCUUUUGUAGAUUUAGGCAAUGGAAAGAGCCAUAGGAAACAUAAAAACUAAACAGCAUUUUAAUAUGCAAUGACAUUUGUAUGGUUUUUACAGUAUACCCAUGUUAUUUUCUUCAUUUUAAUAGUAAUUCGUGGCUAGACGUUUAAAAAAAAAUAUAUUCUUUGGAAUAAAGUACUUCAUGUAAUGCUAAUGUGCAAAUUUCACAUGUCCAAUUACAGUUUUGUUUGGGUAUUGUCUGUACUGUAUGUAGCCGUCAACACAACACAUAUAUUUAAAUGUACAUUAUGGUUAAAUAUCCACAAGUCUUUUUAUGGGCUUCAAUGCCACCUAAAAUAAGAUGAUAAAUGAUACUAUUUUUCUUAUCAUUACUGUCGGCCUAUAGUACUGUGACUUACAAUGUCUACUUUUUGAUACUAACAAACAAUAGUAGGCUUUGUGUUCACGCCAGGACUUCACAACUGCAGUUAGAGAUAUGCACAGCAAUUCACCCACUGCUGGAGGGUGAGAGAAAUAGUAAAACAUCCUACGUUCAUUUUACCACAAGAAAAAGAAUGCUUCAUGUAACAACAUGUUGAAUAAUUAUAUUUUGUCAGUCUAUUGUUGUCUUCUGACUUAAUGUUUGGUACUUUGCACAUCAUGUAAGUUAUACAGUAUAUACCUAUUGUCAGGAUUUGGCCAGGGUUGUUCCGGGUUUUGGUCACUAGAUGCCCCCAUUGUGCUUUUUGACCUUAUGUUUUUUCCCUUGUUCCCCAUUAUUAUUUGCACCUGUGCCUCGUUUCCCCUGAUUGUAUUUAAACCCUUAGUUUCCCUCAGUUCUGUGCUCUGUGUUUGUAUGUUAGCACCCAGCCCUAGUGUUCUGUGUAUUCUUGUCGAUUCCGGUGGAUGCUCUUGUGGAAUUCUGUUUUUGUUUUUGAGUAUCUCUUGAGGCUUUUUUGUGCUAUUCCUACCACCUUUUGGAUUUGCCAUUUUUGUAUUGAAGGACUUCUCCUUUUUACUUUAUUAAAUACACCGUCUUAAGUACUGCUGUGUCUGCCUCAUCUUCUGGGUUCUGCUGACUAUU